rnacentral:lncRNA from 1 species
GGUUCACCUUCCUUAGCUUUGCCUUAACGACAUCGUUGGCUUUCGAAAUUCUCCUCUGAAUUCUCUCCAAUAUACUGGCUCCGUCACUCACCGACCAGGUAUGUAAGCCUUUCUUUCUCUCCUCUCCAAAUUCUUAGUUUCAAUUUCCUAUAUUUUCGAGAAACCAAACGGAGAAUUAGGGUUUAUAGAGAGAACACAUGGUGUGUCAUGACAUGCAUUCUGCCGACAAUUCGCGAUGCUUGUCAUGUCGUGGCCAACAUCGAUGUUUUGGCAUGCCACAAUGUAAGGGUUACCGUGUCAAGACAAGCCAUGACAUGCAUUUUUUUUAGCACUUUGACAUGUUAGCCCUCGCACCAUGGCACACCAAAACAUCAUUGUUGGCAGGCGUUACCCAGAAAGGAAAAACAAAGAUGCAUGGCAAUUCACCUUCCUCAGCUUUACCUUAAAGAUGUUGUUGGCUUUCGACAAUUCACCUUCCUCGGCUUUACCUUAACGACGUCGUUGGCUUUCAAAAUUUUCCUCCAAAUUCUCUCCGAUAAACCAGCUCCGUCACUCAUCAAUCAUGUACAUAAGCCUCUCUUUGUCUCAUUUCCAAAUACUUAGUUUCAAUUUCCCAAAUUUUCCGAGAAACCAAGUGGAGCAUUAGCGGUUAUAGAAAGAAUGCACGACAUGUCAUGACA